AUGUGCUAUGUUGGACACUGUGACGGGAAGAAGAUGGAAGAGAGAGGAUGUGAGCAUGUAUAUUUGAAGAGAGUGGCUGUGGCAGAAAAAUCAACUCGUACACUGAGUGAGUCAUGUGCAGUUUUCCGGAGUACACAGACUCUUCACCUAUGGUUGGAUUCCCAGGGGACCAUGGUUCCUAAGUGCCUCAGGAUGUCAUUUUCGGGCGUCCCCUCCGCCCUUGGCACAGACUCCCACAGGCCCCCGACGAACUCGGAUGGAUCUUCGCCCUGGCCAGGAGCCCAGCCUAAGAGCCAGCCCGGACAGCGCUGCCCCUCCCCUCCAAGCGACAGCAUUGUGAAGACUGGAGAGCAAAACGGGUCGCCCACAAGGAAACUCCAGAAAGCGGGCAGUCAGAAGUGCUGCAGGGAGCACUUCCGGCACAGCCUCUGCGGGCGGUCAGAGGUGCGGGCGGUCAGAGGUGCGGCCUGGGGUCGCCGGCGGACUGUUCCCAUGCUUGUGAGUGUCGGGUUGUAGGAGUGGAGCAGCUUCUAGGAGUAGUGACUGGGUUGGUAUGACAGCCAGGGCUCUCACCUUUGAACCUCAAGUGAGUCCCUCCCUGAGGACCAAGCUGGGAGACCCAAGAAACACACUGGGCACCGCCCCUCUCUUGGCCGCUCCCACUUGAAUCAAGGCCACCAAGACCCUUUUCUCACCUGGAAAGGGCAAUCAGGCAGAUCUGAAGAUGGCCGUGCUGCUAGAGGAAAGUCUGCACGCCGCAGACUCAGCAGCACCACCCGCUUCACAGACCUCUGUACCUCCCAGGAAGUCUCUUACCGCCAACAGUUUCUCACCUCCUCUGUCUGGGUAUCGGGUCAGUCUCUUCAGAAAUAAACCGUGAAUGGUGUUUGUGACAGAGAAGUAUUCUAGGGAAUGUGUGGGGAGAGCACCGUCCUGGUUCCCUUGAUUCACUAUACAAAAUCAAACUGCUUAUAUCUGUUAGGAGGGCCAUGAUCAGAGAUGGAAGACAUGUUGGUGAGAAUGUGGAGGAAAGGGAACCCUUGCACGCUGUUGGUGGACUGUAGAUUAAUGGAGCCCUAUGGAAAACAGUACUGAGGAUCCUUAGAAAAUUAAAAAUAGAGCUAAGCAUAGUGGCACAUGCCCAUAAUCCCAGCAGUCUGGGUGGCUCAGGCAGGAGGGUCACAAGGUCAAGCUUAUCCUGGGCAAUUUAUCAACUUAGUGAGACCCCCAUCUCACAAUAAAAAAUAAAAAGAAGCGUUGAGAUGUAGCUAAUUACAAAGCCCCUGGGAUCCAUCCCCAGUACUGCAAAGAAACAAAAAAAAUACCACGUUGCUUCUUUGGGCCAUUUUUCUGCUGCAAUAAUAGAAUACUACAGGCUGGAUAAUUUAUAAACAAUAAAGGGGUUAUUUGGCUUACAGUUCUGGAGGCUGAGAAUUUUGAGAGAAUGGCAUCAGCACCUGGAGAAGUGAUAACCAUUUUCUUGUGUGUGAGGCAGUAUGUAGUUUGGGCUGGUCUUGAACUCCUGGCAGUUCUCCUGCCUCAGCCUCCUGAAUGCUGGGAUUAUAGCUGUGUGCCAUCAUACCCAGCUUAUGUCAUAUCAUAGCAGAAGAAUAAACAAGGCCUCAAAGACAUAGAGAAAAUUAGGCUAAACUCAUCCUUUGGGUCAGAAACCCACUUUUGCAAUAAUAAAUCUACUCCCACAAUAAUGGCAUUAAUUCUAAUCACCUCUUAAUCCUGGUACAAUAGCAAUUAACUUCCAGGAGGCAACAUUCAAGCCACUGCAAGUGUGAUCCAGCUGCCCCACUGCUGAUACAUAGGCAGUGGGAAGGAAGCCAGUGUCAAAGGGACGCCCAUGUUCCUGUGUUCACUGUGGCCCAGAUAAGGAAGCAACUUCUGUGUCUGUCGGCAAAGAAGGCAUAAGGAAAAGCUGCUAUAUCUAAACACGGUGAAAAACCACUCAGCCUUAAAAAGAAGGACAUCACUGUGCGUGGUAGGCCAGCCUAUAAUCCCAGUACUCAGGAGGCUGAGGCAUGAGGAUCACUGCAAGUUCGAGGAGGCCAGUCUGGGCUACAUAGCGAGAUCUUGUCUCAAAAAACCAAACCAAACCAAACAAACCAGUAUGUUGGGUCUGAGGGUGUAGCUCAGUGGUAGAGUGCUUGCCUAGCUCGCCUGAGACCCUGGGUUUGAUCCUCAGCACUGGACACAACAAAAACACAACAUUGUAUUGUUCACCAUAAAUCUAUAUAUUCAGUUUUCGUCAAUUAAAAAAAAGAAGCAAACUAUGUCUGCCAAAUGUGAACUAGGCCAGGCCAGCAUCUUGCCUCAAAUUUUCCUUUUCUAUUUACAUAUUUUUUUCUUUAAUGUGAAGCUUUUGCUGUCUUAAAUAUUUUCAUUUAAGUAGCUAAACAAGCCAGGCGUGAUGGUACAUACCUGUGAUCCCAGCAUUCUGGAGGGCGAGACAAGAGGAUUGCUGAGUUCAAGGACAGCCUGGGCUACAUAGUGAGCCCUUGUCUCAAAAAAAGUCAGAUAUUUAAUAUAUAAAAUUAUAUUAAUGACGUAUUAAUUUUUUAAAGUUGGUUAAAAAUAACACAAUAGUAAUCUAUUUUUUACCAAAAAAUGUAUAUAUAGAAAAAAGACUAACGUCUCAUGGCUGCAAAGGUACUUGGGCAUCUUCCAAGUUUAAAAUUUUUAAAAAUGUGUAGAAAAAAAAAUAAAAAAAAAUAAAAAUUUGUAGAAAUUGUUAUUUCUUGUUUUUGUUUUUUUUUGAGACAAGGUCUCAUUAUGCAGCUCAGGCUGGCCUCAAACUUGUGAUCCUCCUGUCUCAGCCUCCCCAGUGCUGGGAUUAUAGGUGUGCACCACCAUGGCUGGCUCAAAAUUGUGAUUUUGACCUUUUUUUCCCCCUGCUGUUGCCAUCAUUACCUCUUCUGAUUUUGACCUUUUGCAACAGUAAUGUGAGUACUAUAUUAAGAAUCAGAAAAUUCACUCUGACUUAUUGUAUGGCCUCAGUUUUAUGAUUUAAUUUAGUCCCGUUUACUUAAAUGAUAUUCUGUGGAAUUUGAAAUCCAUAAUGGUUAAUGGAACUAUGAAAAUAAGCACUGACAUUUGCAGAGUUUAAAAAUAAAUUAGGACCCCAAAGCCCAUGACAGUCUAUUUUUUUUUUUUUUUGGUACUGGGGAUUGAACUCGAGUCCUUGCACUUUCGAAGCAGGCAGCAGAACCACUGAGCUAAAUCCCUGAACCAACACAGUCUAAAUAUGAGGAAAACAUCAAGUGAAUCCAAAUGGAGGCACCUUCCACAAAAUACCAAUACUCCUAAAAGAAUGAAGCUUAUGAGAAACAAGGAAAAGAGGAGAAAUAGGCCAGAGAUACCUAAAACAGGCGACCUAAACACAGUGAAUGUGGUAUAGUAAGGAGACCCCGUAACAGAUAAACGACAUCGGUGGAAAGACUGGUGAGAUCCAAAGCAAGUUUGGUGGUUAACAGUCAUGCACUGAGGGCCGGGGAUUUAGCUCAGGGGUUCCAUUGCCUGCCUCGAAAGCAAAAGGCCUCGAGUUCGAUCUCUGGUACCAAAAAAAAAAGUCAUGCACUGUUAGUGUGCUCCCUCCCCACACACUGGGGAUGGAACUCAGGACCUUGCACUUGCCAGGCAGGCGUGGUGCCAUUGAGCUACAUCACUGGCCCUAGUGUCUUGGGUUUGACAGACACACCAGGGUAAGGUAAGACACUAACAGUACUAGGGUGACAGGCCCUAAGGGCUGGCGUGGGAGAGGGGUUCUUUGGAUGUGGGACUUGUAGAACUAAAAUCAGGGUAGUCCAGCAAACUGAUCAGCCCAUGCUGGGGGAAACUAGGUUAGAUAUAUAUGGGAAAUCUUCAUUGUCUUUAUUUUUAUCUCUUUUGGUACUGGGAAUUGAACUCAGAGCUUUUGUACUGAGCUACAUCCCAGUCCUUUUUCAUUUUUUAUUUUGAGACAGGGUCUCACUAAGUCACUAAAUUGCCCAGGCUGGUCUUGAACCUUGUCCUGCCUCAGCCUCCUGAGUAGCUGGGAUUAUAGGGGUGUGCCACCACGCUGGGCUUUUCUAACUUUCUUUUUUUGUGCAUGUAAAAGUAUUCCAAAAAUUACAAGUUUAUUAAAAAAUCCAAGACAAAACUGAAAACAGGUUAGGAACAACUGAUUAAUAAUAGGAUAACAGGGCUAAGAAGUUAAAUGUCUGUCAAGCCAAUAAAUGCAUUGAAGUCCUACUAUGUGCAAAGUUUUCUGCUGGGCCCUGCUUUCAAAUGACAACGCAGACGCAUACAAAUCCACACUGCUCUUCUUGCUGUUGUGUUGCUGUUGUAUUUUCAGAGAUACACAUCUGCAUUUGCUGGGAGCUCUGUGGGUUUAUUCACUUGGCCUUUUCAGGCAUUUUCUUUUAGUAGACAGAAAAUAAGCUUUAAGAAGUCUAUACUUCUUUUUAUUCCAUUGCUUCAUCCAAGAGUUUUACCUUUUUUCAAAACAUUCAUCUCUAAGCUGGUGUUCAUACACUCU
rnacentral:lncRNA from 1 species